CAAGGAGGGGGUGGGAUUUAUUCCCGUGGGUGUCUUUCCUUUCUAGCUGGUCUGCGGGCAUUCACCCUUGCCACCUGUCUGUGCAGCCAGUGACAUAGUCAUUGCCCCUCGGGGCAGGAGGAGGCCUGGUGGCCCUGUGUGUCUGUGUGGGGGAGGUACGGCUGUGUCCCCACCCCCGGCUCUCCACUCCUGCUCAUCCCCUAUGAAACCUGGUGUCAUGGACCUGCUCCCCUCGGGGCUGGUGACCUUUGGACCCCAGUGGUGACAACCACAGAGGUCCCCAGACAUCACCUGCAGCGUCCCUUGGAGGCAGGAUUGGCCCCAGUGAGAGCUGCUGCCCAGGGCCACUUCCGAGGUCAGUCAUCUCUUUCUGGGGGGUGGGGUAGGUAGUGCCAGUGUCAUUUUUGACUCCCCUGCUGGUGUGGCCUCCUAGGCCCAGGUUUCCCAGCAUCUCCCCUCUCCUGCUGAGGGCCCCCAUCUCUUGAGUAUUCCAUUUGAGCUGCUCAUCUCUGUGCCACUUUUUCCCAACUUAAGGCGGCUGAGCUCUGCAGCGGUCUGCAGCCUCGGUGUGCGACGUUUCUUAAGCACACAGGUGUUAAGUAUCUCAGAGCCGUGAAACUCUCUGCCUUGUCUGACAGACUCCCACCUUGAGGAUGGACCCUGGCUUUGGGGCUGGGAUUUCAUUCACUGCACUCGAGUCUCUGGAGGGGGGCUGGGCUGUUCGGAGGGUUUGGGGAGUGAGGGCACCGGGCAGCACAGGUUUAAGUCUCCUGUGUAGGAAUCUCACGUCUUUCGGGAGCUAAAUGCCAGGCAGGAGGUUGCUUUCCCCUCAGGAACUAGAAGUUCUUAUCCAACCUGCUCUUCACGCCCACCUGUGGGGAGAGAAGCCCAUUCCUUGUGUUCACUGCCUGCCGGAGAGCGGGAGGGAGCCUGUUUCGUCGUGGGCGGGAUGUGCCCCCCGACUCGGGUAGGCCCGAGCAUCUGAGGGCCCCCAAGGGCCCAUCGUUGUCAGGGUGACCGUCCACACCUGCAGGGGCAGGGAGUCGGCGGCUUAGCUUCCUCUGGAGCACGGUUCCGUCAGCCAGAUGUGCUCACAUCCAGCUCUUAGCGGCUCCUGCAAAAACCCGCUCUGAUCAAAGGGAGAUACAGAAGGAAGAAUGUGCAUUGUUGGAAACCGGGGAAUACGGUAAACAAAGAGAAGUGGGAGCUGACCUUACCAUCUCUGCCAUCCGCUCAGCCAUGAGAAGGAGCAAGGCCCAGCGUGGGUGAACCCUGAGGACACCCCGCUCAGUGAGAGAAGGAGACCCAGAGGCCACACCGUGCGAGACCCCAUUUCUAUGAAAUGUCCGGGACAAGCCAGUGCUCAGAGGCAGGAAGGGAUGCUUGGGUGUGGGGGCUGGAGGGUGACAACGGAUGGGGACGGGUUUUCUUUGGAGGAUGAAAAUGCUCUACCUUUGAUGGCGAAGAUGGUCUCCCCACUCUGUGAAUACACAAGCUCCUGUGUCGCACACCUGGUGAAUUGUAGGGCACACGAAUCUCACUGAAACUGUCCAGAAACAUCCUUCCCCCAGAUCAGCUCUCAGCAAAUCAGGAACAGUAAUCCAGAAUAAAAACAGGGCAGCCUUUCUGGAAGGCCGUCUGCCAUGGGUUACACAUGUGUCUCCUGUGGCCUAGCGGUUCUGUCUCUGGAACACGUGCAUACCGGUUCCAUGUCUAGGGAUAUCUGUAGCCCCGUUUGUUGUAGUGGAAAGUUCUAUGACCAGGGGAUGGGUUGAACCAGUGGAAUGUUAUGCAGCUGUGAAAAUGGGUUUGCUCCAUGAGGUUUGCUCUGUAUCUUUGGGCAUGGAGAGAUGAGCGCGACAACUUUAAGGGAAAAAAUAGGCUGUGGACUGGGACUCUUGUGAUUCCCGUUUUUUGUGGGGAUGUGGUUCUUGAACUGGGAAAGGGAGAUUUGCCCAAGUAUUGGUUGAUAUUAGUUUGAUGUCAUGGAAUUUGGGAUACCUUAAAAAUAUGCACUAACUUCUCAA